GCCCAGCUUGCUGGGUGGAUUAGUGGCGAACGGGUGAGUAACACGUGAGUAACCUGCCCUUGACUCUGGGAUAAGCGUUGGAAACGACGUCUAAUACCGGAUACGAGCUUCCACCGCAUGGUGAGUUGCUGGAAAGAAUUUUGGUCAAGGAUGGACUCGCGGCCUAUCAGCUUGUUGGUGAGGUAAUGGCUCACCAAGGCGACGACGGGUAGCCGGCCUGAGAGGGUGACCGGCCACACUGGGACUGAGACACGGCCCAGACUCCUACGGGAGGCAGCAGUGGGGAAUAUUGCACAAUGGGCGAAAGCCUGAUGCAGCAACGCCGCGUGAGGGACGACGGCCUUCGGGUUGUAAACCUCUUUUAGCAGGGAAGAAGCGAAAGUGACGGUACCUGCAGAAAAAGCACCGGCUAACUACGUGCCAGCAGCCGCGGUAAUACGUAGGGUGCAAGCGUUGUCCGGAAUUAUUGGGCGUAAAGAGCUCGUAGGCGGUUUGUCGCGUCUGCUGUGAAAUCCCGAGGCUCAACCUCGGGUCUGCAGUGGGUACGGGCAGACUAGAGUGCGGUAGGGGAGAUUGGAAUUCCUGGUGUAGCGGUGGAAUGCGCAGAUAUCAGGAGGAACACCGAUGGCGAAGGCAGAUCUCUGGGCCGCUACUGACGCUGAGGAGCGAAAGGGUGGGGAGCAAACAGGCUUAGAUACCCUGGUAGU
rnacentral:rRNA from 1 species